UGUCGGACGUUACCAAACUGUUGCCUCGGCGGGGUCACGCCCCGGGUGCGUCGCAGCCCCGGAACCAGGCGCCCGCCGGAGGAACCAACCAAACUCUUUCUGUAGUCCCCUCGCGGACGUAUUUCUUACAGCUCUGAGCAAAAAUUCAAAAUGAAUCAAAACUUUCAACAACGGAUCUCUUGGUUCUGGCAUCGAUGAAGAACGCAGCGAAAUGCGAUAAGUAAUGUGAAUUGCAGAAUUCAGUGAAUCAUCGAAUCUUUGAACGCACAUUGCGCCCGCCAGUAUUCUGGCGGGCAUGCCUGUCCGAGCGUCAUUUCAACCCUCGAACCCCUCCGGGGGAUCGGCGUUGGGGAUCGGGACCCCUCACACGGGUGCCGGCCCCGAAAUACAGUGGCGGUCUCGCCGCAGCCUCUCCUGCGCAGUAGUUUGCACAACUCGCACCGGGAGCGCGGCGCGUCCACGUCCGUAAAACACCCAACUUUCUGAAAUGUUGACCUCGGAUCAGGUAGGAAUACCCGCUGAACUUAAGCAUAUCAA
rnacentral:rRNA from 1 species